UACGUAGGGACCGAGCGUUGUCCGGAAUCAUUGGGCGUAAAGAGCGUGUAGGCGGCCACUUAAGUCCUGCGUGAAAUCUUGCGGCUCAACCGCAAGCGGUCGUGGGAAACUGGGUGGCUAGAGUGCGGGAGAGGAGAGUGGAAUUCCUGGUGUAGCGGUGGAAUGCGCAGAUAUCAGGAGGAACACCGGUGGCGAAGGCGGGUCUCUGGGACGUUACUGACGCUGAGACGCGAAAGCGUGGGGAGCAAACAGG
rnacentral:rRNA from 1 species